rnacentral:rRNA from 1 species
GACGAACGCUGGCGGCGUGCCUAAUACAUGCAAGUCGAGCGGAGGAAACUGACGGAACUCUUCGGAGGGAAGGCAGUGGAAUGAGCGGCGGACGGGUGAGUAACACGUAAGGAACCUGCCUCAAGGAUUGGGAUAACUCCGAGAAAUCGGAGCUGAUACCGGAUAGUUCAUCGGACCGCAUGGUCCGUUGAUGAAAGGCGCUCCGGCGUCACCUUGAGAUGGCCUUGCGGUGCAUUAGCUAGUUGGUGGGGUAACGGCCCACCAAGGCGACGAUGCAUAGGCGACCUGAGAGGGUGAUCGGCCACACUGGGAAUGAGACACGGCCCAGACUCCGACGGGAGGCAGCAGUAGGGAAUCUUCCACAAUGGACGAAAGUCUGAUGGAGCAACGCCGCGUGAGUGAUGAAGGUUUUCGGAUCGUAAAACUCUGUUGUAAGGGAAGAACACGUACGAGAGGAAAUGCUCGUACCUUGACGGUACCUUACGAGAAAGCCACGGCUAACUACGUGCCAGCCGCCGCAGUAACAC